ensembl:lincRNA
GCCAGCUGUCUUAAAAAGCAAAGGCGGAAGGGGUCUGUGUUGGCUGUCACCUGCCCCCACGGGCCACAGUUGCAGUGCUUUCCAGGCCCUCUGCAUCUCUUCCAAAGCAAGUCCGCACGUGUCUAGAAAUGCUCCGCUCCACGGGAAUGGGGUGAGCGUGACCGUGGCCGCUGGUCAUCAGGAAAGGGCCUGGAACCACAAGACUCAGGGGUACUGGAAAGCACCUUCGGUGGAGCCCUUGAGUACUCCCAGAAGAGCCGUCUGUACAGCUGUAAAACCCUCAGCCUCAGGGAAACGCCUACCCCACAAGAGAAGGUCCCAGCCCCACCCAGGCAGCUGGGGAGGCUCCACCUGUCUCCCCUGUCUUUGCAGAGCCCAAGGGAGUCUAUCUGUGCUGCCUCAGUGGGAAAGGCUUCUCACGCUUGACACACAAACUUACAACGCAGACCACACUUCGACUCUUACAGGGGAUUUGUGAGCCCACAGAGGGGCCUCAGCCCGCUCCCCUCCAGAAUCCAGAGCAAUGUGCACAAUGGGGUGUGGCUGCCGGAAGGCAUCUGGAGCCCCGAGAAUCCCAGCCCGGCAUCUGUGACCACUGCUCCUCAUCAGACUAAGAAGACUCCUUCUUCAAAACCACAAAUUCUGAAAGCAUUUUCUGUUUGCUUUGCUAGAAAUGAUCCAACGGUCUAGAAAUGGCUCAAAGGACUAUCAGAUAGCUGUAGAACCCAUUUCCUACCAAAUCAAGUCAAGUAUUUAGUCAAUAUAAAUACUAACUAAUGAACCACAUGGAAUCCUAAAUGUCAUGAAGCUCUUCAUCAAGCUUGGCCCGGUUCAAGGGCAGAGACCUUAAGAAUUGCAGUGAACAUAUGUAUAUUUGGUUAGGAAAAUAACUUCCCAGGAAUAAACUAGCCUCUUGGCCUGGGUCCUGGGAAAGCCGUGAAGCACUAUGCUAAGCGCGUGCGGCAUUUUAUUUAUGAGGGCGAUUUUGUCUAUAGUUUUCCUCUUAUGUUUCUGUCUGGCUUUGGCAUUAAGUAGCUCUAGCUUCAUAAAAUGAGCUGGAAAAUGCUUCCUCUCCCAUUUUCUGGAAGAUCUGCCGAAAUGGUGGCUUUAUUUAUUCUGUAAGUGUUUAGUAGAAAUGAAUUGUAAAUCUAUCUAGAUCUGAGAUUUUCUUUUGGGGACGAUUUUUAAGAAUUGACUCAAUUUCCUUACUUAUUGUAACUCUGUUCAGGUUUAUUUUCUUUUUGUCAGUUUCCUGUAUGCCAGCAGGACUCUGGGGCUGCGUCUUGGUAUAGGGGUUAUGGGGCAGCUUCUUGGUCACUGUCUUGGGUGGACAGAUGCAGAGUGGACACUCUGCUUCCCAGGUCCCUCCCAGCAGAGGGAGAGGUCCGCAUGGUGACCUGCUCUUCAUGAAGUCCGGAAUAGCUGCCCCUUCCAUCCCAGAUGCCUAACUCCCCACAACAAAUCUCUUCCCAGCAAAGCAGCUCAUGUGUCCUCAAGGUCAAACUGAUGGGUAACAGUCAGUGAGCGCCCACUGCCACGUACCCCUGACACUCCGUAUCCGCAUCUCACACCACGCAUGACUUGUCCCAUCACAGGCCCAGGGAGUCAGAAUGUUACAUGAAAGAAAUCAAACACACAAGCGUAAAUAGUACAUGGAUUCUCUAACAUGAGAAAUCCAAAGUGUAAAUAAAUCAGAGAGCAAAAUCUAAGGUAGACCAUAGGAAUCAAGCAGUGAGAUCUUUAGCAAAUGGUCCAGUUUUUCCUGCAUUGCUCAGGAAUCUGAACGAUCAAGCAUGCUGUGCAACCCCAGACCCCACCAUGGCCCCAGCCAAAUUCCUGAAAUCCCCGUGCAGUUCCUAACCUGGUCCUCCCCUGACACACACCCAAGCAUACCACCUGGUGCUUCUACCUUGGUCCAGGACUUCUGCUUGUGGGCUUCUAGUGGGCUUCAGGUUUUACAAACAGCUGUCCAGUUUUUAUCAUUGCUGUUUGGGGACAAAAUUAUCAAGCUCCUUAUCCCCAUUUUAUGAAGAUUUUGUAAACGAUACAACCUGGGUCCAUCAUCUUGGGUAAAUAAACCCACUCCUCUUUCUGAAUUUGACAGCCUUCCAGUGGGAAGCGAGUAGCACAUCAC